GACAGAGGGUGCAAACGUUGUUCGGAAUUACUGGGCGUAAAGCGCGUGUAGGCGGCCAACUAAGUCGGGCGUGAAAUCCCACGGCUCAACCGUGGAAGUGCACUCGAAACUGGAUGGCUAGAGUCCUGGAGAGGAAGGUGGAAUGCUUGGUGUAGAGGUGAAAUUCGUAGAUAUCAAGCGGAACACCGGUGGCGAAGGCGGCCUUCUGGACAGUGACUGGACGC
rnacentral:rRNA from 1 species